UGGGGAAUUUUGGACAAUGGGGGCAACCCUGAUCCAGCCAUGCCGCGUGAGUGAAGAAGGCCUUCGGGUUGUAAAGCUCUUUCGGACGGGACGAAAUGGUUACGGUGAAUAACUGUGACUGAUGACGGUACCGUAAUAAGAAGCACCGGCUAACUACGUGCCAGCAGCCGCGGUAAUACGUAGGGUGCGAGCGUUAAUCGGAAUUACUGGGCGUAAAGCGUGCGCAAGCGGUUCGCCAAGUCAGGUGUGAAAUCCCCGGGCUUAACCUGGGAAUUGCGCUUGAAACUAGCGGGCUUGAGUGUGGCAGAGGGGGGUGGAAUUCCACGUGUAGCAGUGAAAUGCGUAGAGAUGUGGAGGAACACCGAUGGCGAAGGCAGCCCCCUGGGUCAACACUGACGCUCAUGCACGAAAGCGUGGGGAGCAAACAGGAUUAGAUACCCUGGUAGUCCCUGAGCGGGCUGGCAAGGCGCAU
rnacentral:rRNA from 1 species